AUUGAACGCUGGCGGCAGGCUUAACACAUGCAAGUCGAGCGGAGACUUCGGUCUUAGCGGCGAACGGGUGAGUAAUACCUAGGAAUCUGCCCAUUAGCGGGGGACAACGUUUCGAAAGGAACGCUAAUACCGCAUACGCCCUACGGGGAAAGGCAGGGGAGUCUUUUGUACCUUGCACUAAUGGAUGAGCCUAGGCCGGAUUAGCUAGUUGGUAGGGUAAAGGCCUACCAAGGCGACGAUCUGUAGCUGGUCUGAGAGGAUGACCAGCCACACUGGAACUGAGACACGGUCCAGACUCCUACGGGAGGCAGCAGUGGGGAAUAUUGGACAAUGGGCGCAAGCCUGAUCCAGCCAUGCCGCGUGUGUGAAGAAGGCCUCGGUUGU
rnacentral:rRNA from 1 species